rnacentral:rRNA from 1 species
CAGUCGACGACUUCCGUUAAUUGAUUAUGACGUACUUGUACUGAUUGAGAUUUUAACACGAAGUGAGUGGCGAACGGGUGAGUAACACGUGGGUAACCUGCCCAGAAGUAGGGGAUAACACCUGGAAACAGAUGCUAAUACCGUAUAACAGAGAAAACCGCAUGGUUUUCUUUUAAAAGAUGGCUCUGCUAUCACUUCUGGAUGGACCCGCGGCGUAUUAGCUAGUUGGUGAGGUAAAGGCUCACCAAGGCAGUGAUACGUAGCCGACCUGAGAGGGUAAUCGGCCACAUUGGGACUGAGACACGGCCCAGACUCCUACGGGAGGCAGCAGUAGGGAAUCUUCCACAAUGGACGCAAGUCUGAUGGAGCAACGCCGCGUGAGUGAAGAAGGGUUUCGGCUCGUAAAGCUCUGUUGUUAAAGAAGAACGUGGGUAAGAGUAACUGUUUACCCAGUGACGGUAUUUAACCAGAAAGCCACGGCUAACUACGUGCCAGCAGCCGCGGUAAUACGUAGGUGGCAAGCGUUAUCCGGAUUUAUUGGGCGUAAAGCGAGCGCAGGC